AUGAACGUUGGCGGCGUGGAUUAGGCAUGCAAGUCGUGCGGAAGUGGCCCGCAAGGGUUACUUUAGCGGCGAAAGGGAGAGUAAUACGUAGGUACCUACCCCUGGAUUCAGGAUAGCUGCGGGAAACUGCAGGUAAUACUGAAUAACGUCUCCGGACCAAAGGUGUGAUUCCGUCCGGGGAGGGGCCUGCGUCCUAUUAGCUAGUUGGUGAGGUGAUGGCUCACCAAGGCUUAGAUGGGUACGGGGUAUGAGAGUAUGCCCCCGCUCACUGGGACUGAGACACUGCCCAGACACCUACGGGUGGCUGCAGUCGAGGAUCUUCGGCAAUGGGGGAAACCCUGACCGAGCGACGCCGCGUGUGGGAUGAAGGCCCUCGGGUUGUAAACCACUGUCAGAGGGGAUGAAGUGCCAUGGGGUUCUCUCCAUGGUUUGACAUAUCCUCAGAGGAAGGACGGGCUAAGUUCGU
rnacentral:rRNA from 1 species